GGGGCUUAAAAGCAGGCUGAGAUAUCUCUGAGAGUGGAAGGAAUUCUGCCUGGGGACAGCACCUUCAGCCUUUGCCUGAGAGCUGCAACCUGUCCUGGGUGAUGGCCUGCCCUUUGGAUUUAAGACUUGCUUAGCCAGUCCCACAAUCUUGCCGUGGAAGAACUUGCCGAUGGAGGGACCACAGAAGGAUCUAUGGGAGAACAACGGGAACUGCAGGAGAGCAACAAUGGCCAUGAGGGAUUCAAGGAUUAUGCGUCUCUGCACCCUACAAUACACCGACUGGCAGUUUCAUCAUUUGAAAGAAAAUCUUCAAGGUAAAGACAUUUACAAUGACACAAAAGCCUUUCAAAGGCAUCAUGGUCCUAAAGGGCUUUCCCCAAGGGACAGCACAGUGUGUUCCAGGCCCUGACAAGAGGUUUAAGACCUGUGACACAGUCUGAAGCUCUCCUGGCAUACUCUGAAGCUCUCCUGGCACCCUCCCCUUUAUGCUUCACAGGUGUUUCUCCUAAUAAAUUUCUUGUAUGUCUCAUCCCAUCUGGGAAUCUGCUUCUCAGAAGACUCAAACUAACAUAUCUGCCCACUAUGUAUCAGGCACUGUGCUAGGUGCUGGAGACCUAAAAAUGGAUAAAACAGACAAGAGCCCUUCAUUCAUGGUGCUUGCAUCAUAGUGGGGGUAAAUAUUCCAUAAGCAAGAGAAUAAAUAGAUAAGAUAAAUUUAAAAACUAGAUAAUGACUUGUUAUAAAUUGAUUGGUAAUCAGGGAAGGUCUUCUGAGGAGAUGACACUUAAGCUGACACCUGAAUGAGAAGAAGGGGCUGGUCAGCUGAAGACCUAGAUGAGAGUAUUGUAGGCAGAGGGAAGAGCAAAGACCACAGGUUGAGAAAGAAACUAGUUUGACAUAUUUGAUGGGGGAAAAGCCAGUUUGAAGAAUAAUAAAAAAGGGAAUGAAUGGAAUAAACAAGGACAUUAAAGAACUAGAGAGGAGCCUGAUCAUCACAGUAAGGCAUUUAGAGUAGGUUAGGGAGAAGACCAUUCUCUAUCAGGGUAGAACUGAAAAGGCUACGUCUGCUGCUAAAUGCUGCUAUAAAAAGACAAGGGCUUUCAUAUACUACAGAUGCAAUCUUUUGGAUCCACUUAUAUUGAGCAGACUUCGUGGACCCUCCUAAGAAAGUAGGCACCACAAAAAUAUUACAUCUAUACAAAAUGCAGGGCUCCAAGCCAUAGAUGUAUAUAUCACAUUGUGUGUGUGUGUGUGUGUGUGUGUGUGUGUGUGUGUGUGUGUGUCUGUAAAGCCAGCCAGUUUGUAAGCUGAACAUGACUCCCACAUGCUUUCAGAGAGAAGAGAAAAGAGAGAGGAUCGUGUACUGGAAUAAGCCCUAAGAACUUCUUGGAAGAAGGGGAAGUUAGCUGAUCAAAAUUAUGUUGCUUUCUAGAAAAGAAGUAAAAAGCCAGGCAGUUUCUUUUGCUAAAACUGUCUGGGUAGAUUUCCAUUCUAAGAAAAUUACAACAAUGUAUAGUUUUAAAUAGCUAGAAGGAGAAUACUGAAUGUUCCCAACACAAAGAAGUGAUAAAUAUUUGAAAUGAUGGAUAUAUUCAUAGUCCUUAUCUGAUUGCUAUACAUAAUAUGUAUUGAAACAUCAUUAUGUACCCCAUGAAUAUGUGCAAUUAUUAUAAUUCAAUUUAAAAAAUAAAAUUAAACAAAGAAAGCAAGGGGUCAACAGCAUCCAUUGUAAAUGUGCUACCUCUCCACCUGUCUCAUUUAUGAAGUUGGGGGAGCUCCUGAACAGAUAACGAAGUGCAAUGAAAUUUGGAGAAGAAAUCUAGUACCUAGGUCUAGAGAGCAGAUGUGCAACUUCUUUGGAGAAUAUGUUUCAGAUAAAGCUUCAAGAGCUGUUCCUAGUAGCAUA